UACGAAGGUGGCAAGCGUUACUCGGAAUUACUAGGCGUAAAGGGCAGGUAGGCGGUUUGGUUAGUCUGUUGUGAAAGCCCCUUGCUUAACGGGGAGAGGCCAACAGAUACUGCCAAGCUUGAGUAUGGGAGAGGGUACUGGAAUUCCCGGUGUAGCGGUGAAAUGCGCAGAGAUCGGGAGGAACACCAAUGGCGAAAGCAGGUACCUGGACCAUUACUGACGCUCAGCUGCGAAAGCUAGGGAGCAAACA
rnacentral:rRNA from 1 species